rnacentral:misc_RNA from 1 species
GAUGAAGAACGUAGCGAAAUGCGAUAAGUAAUGUGAAUUGCAGAAUUCAGUGAAUCAUCGAGUCUUUGAACGCACAUUGCGCCCCCUGGUAUUCCGGGGGGCAUGCCUGUCCGAGCGUCAUUGCUGCCCUCAAGCACGGCUUGUGUGUUGGGCUUCCGUCCCUGGCAACGGGGACGGGCCCAAAAGGCAGUGGCGGCACCAUGUCUGGUCCUCGAGCGUAUGGGGCUUUGUCACACGCUCCCGUAGGUCCAGCUGGCAGCUAGCCUCGCAACCAAUCUUUUUAACCAGGUUGACCUCGGAUCAGGUAGGGAUACCCGCUGAACUUAAGCAUAUCAAUAAGCGGAGGA